UAGGUGGCAAGCGUUAUCCGGAAUUAUUGGGUGUAAAGGGUGUGUAGGCGGGAUUGUAAGUCAGAUGUGAAAAUUAUGGGCUCAACCCAUAAAUUGCAUUUGAAACUGCAGUUCUUGAGUGUGGGAGAGGUAAAUGGAAUUCCCGGUGUAGCGGUGGAAUGCGUAGAUAUCGGGAGGAACACCAGUGGCGAAGGCGAUUUACUGGACCACAACUGACGCUGAGACACGAAAGCGUGGGGAGCAAA
rnacentral:rRNA from 1 species